GAUGAAGAACGUAGCGAAAUGCGAUAAGUAAUGUGAAUUGCAGAAUUCAGUGAAUCAUCGAAUCUUUGAACGCACAUUGCGCCCGCCAGUAUUCUGGCGGGCAUGCCUGUUCGAGCGUCAUUUCAACCAUCAAGCCCCCGGCUUGUGUUGGGGACCUGCGGCUGCCGCAGGCCCUGAAAAGCAGUGGCGGGCUCGCUGUCACACCGAGCGUAGUAGCAUACAUCUCGCUCUGGGCGUGCUGCGGGUUCCGGCCGUUAAACCACCUUCAUAACCCAAGGUUGACCUCGGAUCAGGUAGGAAGACCCGCUGAACUUAAGAAUAUCAAUAAGCGGAGGA
rnacentral:misc_RNA from 1 species